ACUGAAUCUCUAUUGUUCAUAAUUUUAUCAAUGUUUCUCAAUGGGUUAUGUAAGUGUCAUCUCUUUCUUCACUUCCAAUAACCACCAAGCUGUUACGUUAUUAUUAUGGGAGAUUCAUUAAAAAAAAUAUAUGUUUUUUUUUCCUUUUCAGAAUAAGUAUCGUUAUAGAAUCUAAAAUUUAUUUGUUUUAUAGGUGUUGUUUCAUGUUUUUAUGCAUUUAACUGCUAGUUUUUUUUUUAAUUUUUAUCCCUAUUCUUUUAGCUCAAUAAUUAAAUGAAAUAAUGUAAUUAAGAUAAAAUAUGAAAUUUAAUAAAAAAAUUAAUCUGCGUGAAAAAACUUAAAAAUACAAAUAAAAUAGAAUGGAAGGGGCUGACAGAAAAGAAAGAAUGGAAGGGAGUAUUUAUUUUAAAAUGAUUUUUGUGAAGUACAUAAAUGUUAGAAAAUAAAUAUUUAUGAAAUACAAAGUAUUUAAAAAAAACAAUAAUAUUAAGAGACAAGUAUGUUUCACCUGUCCAUUUUUCAUCAAGGCUUUGCAGUUUUUUCAUUUACGAGUUAAAAAAAAUAAGAAGCAAAAACCCGAAAAGGAAAGGCAAGAGAGUCGCUUCACUGCUUGAUCAGAUCAGAGAGAAGAAUAAAGAUCAAAAAACUUUCAACCGACUCCAACCUUAAAUCGCUCCACCAUUAUCUUUCUUGCUCGUUCGCUCCGUUAAACCCUAGUAAGAUCCCUCAAAAUCAUCGACUCCUUUUCGUCUGAUUAUUCUCCUUUUUUUUAAUCCGGGAAUAUCUACCAAAUAUAUUAAUAAUGUAUUUUUUUUUAAUAUUCCUUGUGUCUAGUAAUAGUAUAUAGUUGGGCCUCUUGUCAUUUCUAUUUGUUAAUUGACAAAUUUGAGGUAAAACCGUGUGAAAAUUGGAAUCUUCAGUCCUGCACGCCAACACCUGCUCUUAUAUCCUUUUGUUUCUCAGACAUUGGAGCUUUGUGAAGUUACAGAUUCUAGAAAGGUGCGAACUUGGUUGAUCUACUUGGAGCACUGAGAGUGUGUUUGAGAAAAUGGCUCAGUCAAUUGGUCCAAGGCUGUAUAGUUGCUGCAACUGCAGGAAUCAUGUAGGGCUUCACGAUGAUAUCAUCUCUAAGAGCAUCUCCAAAAAGGAACUCUAUUUUGAAGUUUCCAAAACUUUAUAUUUGAAGUUUCAAUGUGUUCUUCUCCAAAAGUAAAACUUCAAACCUAACUUCAAAAUUAUUUAUAUUUUACACUAUGAUCCUUAUA